GGAUUAAUUAAAAGCCUAAGUAUACCUAACUUUCCUUUCUUCUAUUCACCCGAUUCCAUCUCUUCCGACCCCUCUUCAUCACGAUUCGCCGUCGACCUCUCCCCAGAUCCCAAUCGUCGCUGCUCGAUGACGUUGAUCCACCGCUGCCUCUCGGGGAUGCCGAUCGCCCCUCCUCAUCACCGGAUUUUGGAUCAAGGAGGUCCAACACCGUCUUCGUCUCCUUUCACCCGGGCAUUGUCUACCCUUCUUGAAGCCCUGCCCUAGCUCCACUCUAGCGCCACCGCCCUCUUGAUCUCGAUGUCGUUGUUGUGUUGGCACAGAUUCUCCAUCGUCAUGCCCUAGUUUCCUGGUGUCGAGACUUUCUUCCUCUCACCUGCAUACCCGAGCGAUGCCAACACCUCCUCUUCCUUUCUCUGCCAUGGGACACUGAUCGUUGGCACCUGCUAUGACAUAGAUCGAUCGCUAAUCUUCUAAUCAGUCGCUAAUCUUCCGAUCAGAUCUAAAGUUCCGGCGACCACAACCCUUGCUGAACUUCAUCCACACAGCGAGCUAGCGACACUUGAAGCUGUGAGGGUUAUUGGGACAGAGACUUGAGAUUUCCAGAAAGGGAGCCAAGAUUCAUGCCAUAGAGGUAUGAGAUCUAUAGAGUAAGGGUUAAAUGAUUAAGAUAUAGAUCAGUGUAGGGCAAAUUUCUGUUGUGGAUAAUAUUGGAGUGUAGGAACCAUACUAAACGUUGAUUUGGGGAUAAUUAAUGCAAAAGGCAGCGACUUCACUUGGUCUCGACCACCGUCACUGGCAGUGAGUUGCUCCGACCGUGAGUAGUGCAUUGGAUUUGGGGUAAGACUGUUGGAACUCCGUGAUAGUUUUGAUGUGAUCAACCAAGUUAAGUUAGGUCAUGUUGUGUUUGAUCCUUGUGUCUAAGUGUACAGAAGCUUAGGAACACAAGAAGUCGAGCGAAAGACGCAGCUAGCGAGAAGGAUUGCACAGGAAGGGAGUCAACAGGCUAGAUGCAUCCGAGGGGCGAGGUGCUGCGGAAGAGUACACCGGUGGACUAGAAGGACGCGCGCGGUGGUCCGAGGGACGAGAAGCCGAGAGAAAAUCUGCUCGAGGAGAAGGUCGAAAAAUGAGUUCGGGUGAGCCCUAUUCCGGUUGGCCUAAAUUACUCAAAUGAGAGGAACAACGAAAGAUCAAGAGAAAGAAAGUGGAGCUCGGUAGCAGUUGCCGAAAACGCCUUCAAGCUAUUGGAAGGCACCUUCAAUCCUUCAUGGAAGGUGCCUUCCAGCACUUGAAGCACCUUCGACUAGGCAAAAGUGAACGUUGGGAAAGGAUAAAUCUUUAUCCUUUCUUGCUUCACUGGAGGCGCCUUCCAGCCUCGGAUAAGAUUUUCAGGGGCUAUAAAAAGACUCAUGGAACUAGGAAAUAUACAACAACUCUAGUAUUUAUUUCCUAACAACUGUCUGAGCAUUCAACGACUGUAAUAGGCUUAUUCGCCUACACGAUGGAGAUCAUUUUAGUAUUUUCUUCCGUCUUGGAUUAACAACCACCUAAAUUGUAACCAAGUAACUCCUUUGUGUCUUUUACUUAUUAGUUGCUUAAUUUCCUAUUUAUAAGUGU